rnacentral:lncRNA from 1 species
AUGUGUGUACCUGUUCGAUCGUUUGCGCGCACUGGUGGGGACGCUCAGAUGUGUGCACCUGUUCGAUCGUUUGCGCGCACUGGUGGGGACGCUCAGAUGUGUGCACCUGUUCGAUCGUUUGCGCGCACUGGUGGGGACGCUCAGGUGUGUGUACCUGUUCGAUCGUUUGCACGCACUGGUGUGGACGCUCAGAUGUGUGCACCUGUUUUACAUUUGCACGCACUGGUGUGGACACUCAGAUGUGUGUAUCUGAUUGCGCGCACUGGUGUGGACACUCAGAUGUAUGUAUCUGAUCGUUUGCGCGCACUGGUGUGGACGCUCAGAUGUGUGUACCUGUUCGAUCGUUUGCGCGCACUGGUGUGGACGCUCAGAUGUGUGUAUCUGAUCGUUUGCGCGCACUGGUGUGGACGCUCAGAUGUGUGUACCUGUUCGAUCGUUUGCGCGCACUGGUGUGGACGCUCAGAUGUGUGUACCUGUUUUACCGUUUGUGCGCACUGGUGUGGACGCUCAGAUGUGUGUACCUGUUCGAUAGUUUGCGCGCAUUGGUGUGGACGCUCAGAUGUGUGUACCUGUUUGACCGUUUGCGCGCACUGGUGUGGACGCUCAGAUGUGUGUACCCGUUUUACCGUUUGCGCGCACUGGUGUGGACGCUCAGAUGUGUGUACCUUUUCGAUAGUUUGCACGCACUGGUGUGGACGCUCAGAUGUGUGUACCUUUUCGAUAGUUUGCACGCACUGGUGUGGACGCUCAGAUGUGUGUACCUGUUUUACCGUUUGCGCGCACUGGUGGGGACGCUCAGAUGUGUGUACCUGUUUGACCGUUUGCGCGCACUGGUGGGGACGCUCAGAUGUGUGUACCUGUUUGACCGUUUGCGCGCACUGGUGUGGACGCUCAGAUGUGUGUACCUGUUUGACCGUUUGCGCGCACUGGUGGGGACGCUCAGAUGUGUGUACCUGUUUGACUGUUUGCGCGCACUGGUGUGGACGCUCAGAUGUGUGUACCUGUUUUACCGUUUGCGCGCACUGGUGUGGACACUCAGAUGUGUGUACCUAUUUGAUCGUUUGCACGCACUGGUGGGGACACUCAGAUAUGUGUAUCUGUUUGAUCGUUUGCGCGCACUGGUGUGGGCACUCAGAUAGCUACUUUCAUCUUGUGGUUGUUACCCAUUCUACAGUAUUUUGUAUUUUGUUUAUACCUAUGGCCACAGGGAGCUCUCUCCACUGGCUCCUUUGA